GACGAGUGGUCCUAGCGUUAGUCGGAAUCACUGGGCUUAAAGGGUGCGUAGGCGGGCCAGUCAGUGUCUUGUGAAAGCCCCCGGCUCAACCGGGGAACCGCAGGGCAUACUGCUGGUCUUGAGGAAGCUAGAGGCCGGUGGAACGAUAGGUGGAGCGGUGGAAUGCGUAGAGAUCUAUCGGAACGCCGAUGGUGAAGACAGCCGGCUGGGGCUUUCCUGACGCUGAGGCACGAAAGCGUGGGGAGCAAACAGG
rnacentral:rRNA from 1 species